rnacentral:rRNA from 1 species
UACCUACGGGAGGCAGCAGUAGGGAAUCUUCCACAAUGGACGAAAGUCUGAUGGAGCGACGCCGCGUGAGUGAAGAAGGGUUUCGGCUCGUAAAGCUCUGUUGGUAGUGAAGAAAGAUAGAGGUAGUAACUGGCCUUUAUUUGACGGUAAUUACUUAGAAAGUCACGGCUAACUACGUGCCAGCAGCCGCGGUAAUACGUAGGUGGCAAGCGUUGUCCGGAUUUAUUGGGGGUAAAGGGGGCGUAGACGGGUCUGCAAGUCUGAAGUGAAAGCCCGUGGCUUAACCGCGGAACGGCUUUGGAAAC